rnacentral:rRNA from 1 species
UACGUAGGGUGCGAGCGUUGUCCGGAAUUAUUGGGCGUAAAGGGCUCGUAGGCGGUCUGUCGCGUCGGGAGUGAAAACUCAGGGCUUAACCCUGAGCCUGCUUCCGAUACGGGCAGACUAGAGGUAUGCAGGGGAGAACGGAAUUCCUGGUGUAGCGGUGGAAUGCGCAGAUAUCAGGAGGAACACCGGUGGCGAAGGCGGGUCUCUGGGCAUUACCUGACGCUGAGGAGCGAAAGUGUGGGGAGCGAACAGG